rnacentral:rRNA from 1 species
CCUACGGGAGGCAGCAGUAGGGAAUAUUGCUCAAUGGGGGAAACCCUGAAGCAGCAACGCCGCGUGGAGGAUGAAGGUUUUCGGAUUGUAAACUCCUUUUGUUAGAGAAGAUAAUGACGGUAUCUAACGAAUAAGCACCGGCUAACUCCGUGCCAGCAGCCGCGGUAAUACGGAGGGUGCAAGCGUUACUCGGAAUCACUGGGCGGAAAGAGCGCGUAGGCGGGAUAGCAAGUCAGAUGUGAAAUCCUAUGGCUUAACCAUAGAACUGCAUUUGAAACUGUUAUUCUAGAGUAUGGGAGAGGUAGGUGGAAUUCUGGGUGUAGGGGUAAAAUCCGUAGAGAUCAAGAGGAAUACUCAUUGCGAAGGCGACCUGCUAGAACAUAACUGACGCUGAUGCGCGAAAGCGUGGGGAGCAAACAGGAUUAGAUACCCCAGUAGUC